rnacentral:lncRNA from 1 species
CGAAUUGUAGCUAUUUUCGACGAAAAUUCCGUCGCGCAUAAUAUGAUUUCGAGAGAAUUAAGUUCGACAAAAAUUCCGUCGAAAAUAGAUUAUAAAACUUAAACCAGAUCGUUUUCCCCAAGCCGUCACUGUAAAUUCUUAAUCUCUCUCUGUCAUUCAAUUAUCUCUAUUCUCUCUGUCCUCACAUCUUCACCUCGUCACCUCCUCAUCUCCUCAACCUCGUUCCUCGCCUAUUCUGAACGUUGCCUCCAACUCCCCACCUCCGGUGCCAUAACCUGCACUCCGAAGACAGCAAAUCUCCGACGCAAUGAACCUCUGGCAAUUCUCUGGUGACAAACCUAAUAUCAGGCUCUCUUCUUUCUAUACGGGUAAUCUCCAGUUGUACCUAGAUUAAAGGUUUGUCUUCUAAUUUUUUUUUAAUUCUCCUAAAUACAGUUAAUUGGAUUGUCUAGGUUACUGAAAUUGGUUUAAGUAUUGGUUUGACUAUGGGAUUAUUGUUACAUUACCUAGGUUACAUUAGAUUUACUUAAAUUGGUUUAAGUUUUGGUUUGACUAUGGGAUUAUUGUUACAUUACCUAGGUUACAUUAGAUUUACUUAAAUUGGUUUAAGUUUUGGUUUGACUAUGUGAUUAUUGUUGAUGAAAUUGGGACUUCCCUAAUUUUUGACAAACUGUUGUUGUUCUUAAACAUGGGAAUGUGCUAAUUUUUGACAAACUGUUGGUUUGACUAUGUGAUUAUUGUAUAUUUUCCGCCUGUCCACAAAAUAGAGAUUGAAGCGAGACAAAUAAAUUAUACUCCCUCCGUCCCAAAUUAAUUGUUCAAUUUUGACCUUUUAAAUCAUAUUGACUAUUUUUAGAAUUAAUAAUUAAGUAUAUAUAAAUAUAUUUUUAAAAUUAUAAAAAUUAGGAUUAGUAAUAAAUUGUAUAUACUUUCUUUUGAUUAUAAUCUCUUCACCUAUAUUUUAGCAAAAAUAGUAAAAAGAUUAGUUUUAAAAAUGGUCAAUUUAAUUUUAAAAAGUCAAAAUUGAGUAAUUAAUUUGGGACGGAGGGAGUAUAUAAACUCGUGAACUCCAUUUGUAAGUAUUUCUCUCACUAAAAUACGUCUUAGAAUGGUCCAUUCUUAUAAAGGAUUAUUAAAUUGGGCCGAUCCCGUGGAGUCAUGCAAUGGAAUGGAAUAAAACAGUUUUCAUACUAGUUUUAUUGGAGAAGAAUAUUUUAUGUCAAAUUAAAGUGUAAGUUUGGCUACUUAAUUAAUAAAACCGCGUGAUUUUAUAUAAAAUUUAUAAUUAAUUUUCUUUUUUAUCUAUAAAAGCUUAAAAUGAAAAACUUAAUCAUAAUACGAAAUGUUAAGUAGUUUUAGUCAAAUUUGAUUAAGGAUGUGUGUAUGAUCCAUAUCCAAAAUUAGAUAGAAACUCUUAUUAUCCAACUCAUCUCUAACCGUUUAAAAAAUAAUCAAAUAAUGACUAAAGACUUAUCUUGUCCGCACAAUAGUUGUGUGGACGAAAUAUAUCUUCCGCACAACUAUAUGCGGAUAGGAUACGGGAACACAAAAAUUAUAUCACAUAGUUGUGUUUGUGUUUGUGUGGAACACAUAUCCCAUUCGCAUAACAAUUGUGCGGAUAGGAUCUACUAUGCGCAUAAGAAUAAGAAUUAUACGGAUGAGAAUAAUUCUAACUUUUCAAAUCAUAAAAAUAAAUAAUGAGAUUUAUAUUAAAUGAAUGAAGUUCCCAUUUAAUUUUGACUACUGCUCAUUCAUAUAUAUAUAUAUAUAUAUAUAUAUAUAUAUAUAUAUAUAUAUAUAUAUAUAUAUAUAUGUAUGCAGUAUUUCAUAGUUAAUGGUGAUAUAACAAGACGACUGUACAUUCCUUGAGCUGAUAACUGCAUGCAAUGAGUUCACAUUUUUCCUUUGUUCUCUACCUGUAAUUAAUGAAAUCCAACUUUAUUAAUGGAGUUUAAAAAGGAAAAGUCACUUCUACUUUCCAUUCAAGGAACCUAACCGAAGUUAUAGCUAAGCUCCCUACCUGUUUUGCACGGGCAAUUACUACACCUUCUAAACUUUUUUCUGCUCUCACAAGCUAAAAAUCAAAACAACCAUUGUACAACUAUUGAAAUGUUUAUAUAUAUACAACCGAUUGCUAGAAAAUUAUUUCAGCAACUCAAAAAAAGGAACAAGUCACUACAAGUUGUAAUGUCACUACAACUUGUAGCGGCUAGGACAACUUCAACAUAAUACUAUUAAUAUUUUAUAAUAUUAUUAAUACUAAUAUUAAUAUUUUGUAAUAUUAGUAUUAAUAAUGUUUAUAAUAUUAGUAUUAAUAUUUUAUAAUAUUAGUAUUAAUAAUAUUUAUAUUAAUAUUAAUAAUAGUAAUAGUAAUAACUAGUAUGAAUAUUAAUACUAGUAUUACUAUUAUUCUUAUUAAUAUUGAUACUAAUAUUAAUAUUAAUAAUAAUAACUAAUUGUGGUGAGUUUCUUGUGUCCAUGUUCUUGCUGUUGUGCAGGACUUGCAAAUCUGGCUGUGGAACUUAUCUAGCUUCUUGUUAAAGUACUUAAAUGGUUCACCGAUCAGAUCCCUUGUUAAUGCCUUCAUUUUGGUUAUUAACGGAAUAACUAAAUUUACCAUUCGAUUAUCCGGUAGUUUAAUUAUUUUAAAAUUCGGAUACGUGUUUGGAUAUUAAAAAUAAGUAUAUUUUGAUUUUCAAUUAUAAUUAAAUAAUUUAUUCAAAUCGGUUAUAAUCGAAUUGUUGACCCCUAGCUGUAGACACAAUUUUAGAAAGAAAAAUAAUAUAACCCA